CUUAUUGAUUAUUAUUUUCCAAGGAUAUGUAUAAAAAUAUAUUCCUUGUAGCAAGAAAUUUGUUUAUACAAACGCACGAUCAGUCCACUCGUGCGAGAAUCUUUCUAAAAUUAUAUUUAAAGCAUAUAUAUAAUUUGCAUGCCACAAAUGUUGGAAAAGGUUAGUCGAGGCAACGUAACAUCCCGGAUAAUACUCGGCAGAUCCUUACAGAUCGAGAUGCCUCUAGGAAAACUAUACUGAAAACCUCGCGCGGUACAAUGGAAAGUUUUGCGAGCUCGCGUGCAGCCGUACCGUAUACUUUUUCCGUCUAGAGUACUCGAAACGUGUGGAAUCUACUUGAACUGAGUGCACUCGGAAAAAUGCUGCCGGUGAAUGGUGGCCUAUCAGAAAAUUUUAUCGCGGUACAUGAAGAAACAGCUGAAAAUUUCUCACCGUUAGCGGAAUUGCGUUCCUACGUUCCUGCGUCUGUAUCCUUUGCCAAGCGGCGUUACACAAUUAUGCGUACAAUUACCAAUGGCGUAUCCAUUUUCAUUACGAAUUCACACUCGAGGAUAAUGCAUCGCGCGAUUAAUAAUCUUCACAAAUUAUCGCACCGCACACAGAACAGUAUACGCAAGAUCGGCUGGUAGUUUAACUCCAAGAGACGCGACGCAUGAUGCGUAAAGCAUCUGAAAAUCCGUGCGAUACGAAGACUAUAAUUAAUUGAACGAAUUAAAUCAGAAGGGAAAUUUGUUUUUGGUUGUGUAACUGCGUUGAAUUUACGUGCUUGUUAUUAAACAGCUACUUGCUUCACAGCUGGUCCGCUUGGUCCCGCUUUGACAAUCCGAUAGUUCAAUAUUAAAGUCUAUGAAUUCGCUGAUGUCCUUCUUUCUACCGGAGAUCCGCUCUACUGACUGCUCUGUCUAACGUACAAUUCAAUGUCAACUAGUCCUGUUUACGAAUUACUAUUUCGGGAUAUAUAUCUCUUUCUCCCUUUAUUAUAUUUCCUCUCUUUCUUUUCAUUAUACAAAUGCUUAUGUUAUUACAGCAACAAUCGAGAAUUCUCGACGUGACGAUAUCUCUCAUUUAUUUCUAAUCUAAUGAUGCAAUGGUGAUCAACUUAAUGCAAUGCUUAAUGGCGUUUUAAUAGCUUUUUUCGUACGCAGUACGAAGAAUUAAAGAUCUUCAUCUAAUUAGCGGUAUUUAAGAGAUUAAUUAAUUGCAUAUGAGAUUUUACUUGGCUACAAUUUAUGUACAAUAUGAAUUAAAAAGUUGCGCUACAAAAUAGCAGUUUUAUUGAAACGCGAUCGUUAUGCAAUAAUUUAGAUUUUUUUAUAUAUUUUAUUCGGCCUUGAUAAGAUGAUUACUAUAAUAAUCAGUCACUUGCAUUAAUGAUGCUCGAUGUAUUUGUAUUCAACCUACAUGAAUAAUAAGUAUCUGCUUCCGUAGACUAAUUGUCUUCUAAGUAACGGCGAUAUAUUGACGUCGCAAAGAGAAAACACAACGAAUGAAACAUAUCCGAAUCUGCAUUCACGGAAUGUUUAUCACGUCGGUGCGACAGAUUGGAUAACUCAUGAUGAUACGCGAUGAGAUGAUGCGGGAAGCAAAUUGUCAUGUUGUAUCGCGUCUUAUCACUCGCAACCCUACUGCGAUAUGACACGAGGAUACGCAAAGAAACAUUACGAAUACGAAAUCUGCAGAAAUGCAACAAUAAAGUCUAGAAUAUUAAAAAAAGAUGAUCAAGAGACGUCACGAUGCACUUCUCUCGCGUAUCGCGCGCGAUAAGCGGCAAGAUAUUUCUAUAUGUUUAUCUGUACGCGAUACGUUUCGUAAUUACAGACUGUCCACGACAUUUACGUUAAAUUAUAUUCAUACGAGAACAUUGUUGACGUAAUUGAAAAAAAGUUGUACAGCUUUAGAAUCUGCGCGGCAGAUCGUUGAAUAAACUAACGAUAAGGAAUGCAAAUCUCUUUAUCUGUUUCAUUCUGUUCCCAUUAUUAUGUCUGACAUUUCUGCGAUGCCAUUUCACUCAAUCUCAUGGUUUUCAAGAAGGCCGCUUUGCGUGUUCCGUUUCCUGUAUAUCCUGUGUAUCAUAGCAUUCUGGCGAACAAUCAGAGCCCUUUAGGAAGAAUUCGCGUGGUUUGUUUGCUUUAGUUUACUAGCUGUUUUCUUCUAGUCUGCAAAUGUGGAGCACGCGUAUUAAAAUAUGAAGCGAAUACUACGGUAAUAAAUACUACGGUAUCAUCUCCAUUAAUCGUAACUAUUAAUUAUAACUAGGUCGAUAAAAAUUAAACAAGUAUGAGAGGUCAUAUUCUGAGAUAUCAAGAAAAAUACUCCUCGUAUUUCCGAGAAGAAAUGCUUCUGAUAAUUUAUCAGCUCAAGUUCAAGCCUGAUUACGUUGCUUCAAAGAAACGACGCGUCAUAAGAGUGGCGUUUAACGAAAAUACGAGGGUGAAAUUCGCGUUUGUCAAAUGGUACAAAAAAAGUCGAACGAUACUGCAAGAUUCGAAGAAAACAUGUGAACAGCAUGACUAAUUCGCAUGUCCGUCGAUCUAUUUGCAGCCGGAAAUGCGUACUGUUUUGUCGCGUGCUGCACCAACAACGACAGGAUGCAUUGCGGAGAUAUGGAGCGGUGAACCCAGCGAUGGUUCUCGUGUGUGUAAGGAUAAAAUCCGUAUCAGAAAUAAAUGUUCUGUCCGUGUCAAUCUCCCUUCCGGGAGAAAUUACAAUUGCAAACUAUCAUGCGCGCAAAAGCCGGAAGAAAAACGACUACCAUUUAUCACCGGUAUUAUUAAGCGUAACUAUAUAAUUCCAGUUACAAACAAAUCUGAUGCAAAAUCGAAGAAACGCACAUUGUCACGCGUUAAAUGAAUUUAUGCUGGAAAAUUAAUACUCGCCCGAGACGGAAAUUAAUACAAAUAAUAAUUUUCACGCGCCAAAGUCCCCCAUCAAUUACAACAAAUCGCCUGUAGCGAUCCUUGAUCAGGAAAUUACAGAACUUGAUACAAAAUUGCAAAUCAUGACAAAUGAAAAGAAGCAAAAAGAUAUCGCGUCCUAUGAAGGCAAUUCUUGGGGAUUUCUUCGUUUUUAAUCGCCUCCAAUGACCUCCAAAUUAAUCAGCAUUCAUACUUGCAUGACGACCGGCCAUUCGUAUACGAUUACAUGAGUCCUCCAUGAGAUAACGAAGAUCCGUAGUAAUUAUUGAUUUGCAAAUCUCUCUCUCUCUCGGAGAAUGAGUAUGUCAUUAAUAUAAUCGCAGACGACGCGGAUGCACUUACGAAGAACUACGUGGCCGUAAUGCGAUUGGCGGUAAUACACGAAAAUAUAAUACAAGCGUGCAUCGUCCUAAUUAUCUUGCAACGCAGCCUGCCUCUGCAUCCCCACAAGCUGUCCAAUAAGUCGCGAUAGAAUCAGUGGAGAAAUUAUUUCUCAUGAAAGAACAAAUAAAUUAUGUACGCUAUUUUUGUAUCUAAAAUGAUGGUUCUUAAAAAUUACGCAAUUAAUCGAAUUUCCACGCUGCUUACAUGAUGCUUCGUAACGAAUAAUUCUCUCGUUAGUUUACGACUUAUCCUUGCAUACUACAAGUAAAUCAUAUUGCGUUGUUAAUACAAAUGUAAACAGAAUAUGAGGAAAAACUUGAGGAAUAUUCUUCGCAAAGAAAAAUUCGGCAUUAUCGCCAAGAGUGCAGCGAAUACGUAAUAAGAUCAAACUCGCACGCGUUAUCUACACGUUCUGUUCCACAAACGGUGCAUUGCCUCACAAUGCUUUCCGAGGCUUCCUUUGUUAUAUCAAGAGUUUGAUCUAAAAGUGACAAGAAUUUCCAAGACUCCAAGUUUAUCGCAAAUUCAUCGAAGAUUAUCAGAAAUAUUCAGCAUAUAUUUCUAAUAUUAACAAAUAUUGUGAAAAUGGUGUGGAGACCCCACAGCCAUCAAUAUGAAGGCUAAUCAACAUUAAGUCUAUCGUUAUAAGCAAAUCGAUGCGCAUAAUCAUCACCGAUAAAAUUAGAAAUAUGUAGAGCUAAUUGAAUAUGACGUUUUCUGGAUUUUAUUCAAUAACCAUGAAUUAGUUAUCUUCGUUUAUAUCGCCGGCGCGAUUGCUGCGAUUGCGGGUCAACAAGAAAAAGGAGGCAUUCUGGUUUCGAGGGGGCUCAGAGCUUCGUUUAUUAACACUCUGCGAACAACGUGCACUUUCACCGCGACCCUCGUUCAGUUAUGCGAGUCGCGGCUAAGGCCCCCGAAUAAACGCGGAUCAUUUCGUAAGUAUCUGCCGGUCCGGCAUGUGUGGCGGUCACGACGUUGUUCUUUUUUCUAGGCGGUUCCCAUAUAAAUUAUAGAGGCGCCAAUAUAAUUUGCAUCUCGCUAUUGGGAAAGCAACAAAAUUUAGUCCAAGGCCGACGAAGCAGCACGAUCGCGCGCGAUCAAUCAAAAUGGUAUUACAUUUGAAUUAAAGCUAUGCCUUUUUAUUGAAUGAUGAUUUCUUCAUAACGCGCGCACGUCGUUCAUUAUACGGCACGAUGAUUCGUAUACAACCUGUGGAAAUAGCACCGACAAACAAGGUCUCGAGUUACGAGAAAAAAUCAACGCGUAAUCGCGAUUAAUUUGUGUGUGCAUUUUUCUACAAAAUUAACAGGAAUUGAUGUCAAGCGUGCAAUACGUUGUUAAGCGCUUCUUCUCACGUUUCCAACUGAAGUUCCGUGAUCUGAUUAUUAAUACGAGCGACCACGACGUGUACAGCUCGACCGGGUGUCGUUGGCACGUAAUCAUUAUACACGGCAGUGACUCUUGAUUGCGACAAACGCAACUACAAAAGAUAAUGCAUGUGCAUUUCACAAACGUCUUCCCGUAUCGAUAGAUCGAUGCAUUGAUGCGUCCAUGAGACGUUUAGCAUCAAGAAUUAUUUGCGUGUGUUGGCGUUAAUAAAUAAAUGAAUAACUUCGCGAUUAAUGAAUUAAUGAGUAUAUCAGAUUAUUUUUAAAAUUUAGGAGAUUCAGGACUAACCGGAAUCUGCCUAAACAAGACUUAAAAGAAGAAUAUCUAAUCAGCUGGAAUUUUGAGAUAUCCAGCUAAUUUCUGCUGACCCGCUAAUCUAAUUUCUGUUUUUUUGCUGGAGCAUUUCACGUACAAAACUCGUUCUCCUUCAGUUUCCUAGAGAUCUGGAAUUCAAGCGAAGUUCAGAGUUCAAGGUCGCCGGCUUUGAAUCGAGACGUAAUCGUGACUAAGCACGCUAAAUCUUUAUGACAAUAAGUAGCAGUAUUCUGUGACGUUAUCGGACGUUGAUCAUGAUUAAUUCAAUUUGCGUCUCACUGUCGAAACGCCGAAAAGACGGAAUUGCCAGGACGAACGAGGGGCUUCUCGAGCAGCUAUUUUUGCGAAACACAAAGUUACCGAGGAACGUCUGUACGUGAAACAAUAAUUAUGAGAGAAAACACACGAGAGUUGUAAAUAAUUUUUCCAUAUGAAUAAUAUAAAUAAUAGUGAUCAAAAUAAAUUGAGACGAUUGACGAUUGAUUAAGUGACAUCAGUGAUAGUGACAUAAACUGAUAUAUUGAACUUUGUAUAUAUUAAUACUUAGUCAGCUUUAUGCUCGUUCAAGAGACUGUAACACAAUAAUGAUUGUAUACUAGAUCAAUGUCAGGUUUCUAAACGUUUUUUAAAAAAAUGCAAGCGCAUUUAUCAAAUUCUUUAUGAGGAUUUUGAACAAUAACUUACAAUUGAAUCUGCGUUCAAUUGAAAUUGAAGUCCGAUCAUCCAAUGUCCGAUCAUCUAAUAUGAAAAUCAUUUUUUUAGAAUCUUUCUUUCUCCGAUCUUUCUAUAUUUAUAGCUAUAGAAAAAAAACAGACAUUUAAUUGAUCAGACAAACAAGUUUGAAAAAUGAAGUAAAUCCAAGGAUGAAACAAAGCAAAGUGCAUGACUAGAUAUAAAUCAUAAUUUUUUUUCGAGCAUAGCAUUUUUUAAACGUCGCAUAACAACAACAUUUUAUGUGAGGGACUAAACAAAGUUACAUAAAUUAUCACAAUAUGAAACGAUUAAUAUAAAGAAACUGUUUCUUUUUGAAAAUCAUUAAAAUUCAAGGAAAGGAAACCAAGCGUGAUAAUUAUGAAAUGUAGAUAUGCUGGAGGCGAGGUUUCCAUCAACCUUACUAUUACAAUGACGCAGAAAUUAUAAAUUACCGUAAAAAGAAACAAGAUUCAUAUGGUAGCGAGACACAAGAGAUACGAAAGGCGACUCGAGUUUAUUCGGGAAUUAAUGGACCGCGAGACGAGAGACGAGAUCGUCCGUGGUUGCCGUUAAUUGUCUUCCACCAUCUGCAUUUAAAGAGGUGCGAAUUCGAUUUCUCGCAGCUUACGCAUCCCGCGCGAGAAUCUUACGAGCGUGAAAUUCAGAGUCGCGUGCAGCCGCAGAAAAUAGCGACGAAUGCACGAAUGGAAGGAACAAAGACGUCCUCGCCUUUCUCGGAAAUCUCCAAUGAUCAUUCCGCAGUAACGCAGCAGCAGCAGUAGUAGCUGGUCCAGCAAGUUUCCCGAUCGUCCCUCAACGAUCGCGAACUCUCUCCGGAGGAGCGCAAUGGCAAAGAGGAAUCUCCGCGCGUAACGAUUUGCCAUAAAGCUUGCUCGCUCGCGUGCCUCCGCGAGUUCCGCGUGAAUUCCCCGUGGCGAGAACGAGAGUUUGCAGUGAGAACUUGAUGGUUCACGAAGCUCUUGUGAAUUUUCGGAAGACAAGCACGGUACGAGACAAUAGCGUAAGGUAGCAGUCACACCGGCGCACGCCCGUACAACUCUAGUUCUGAGGCUCUUUGGAGGUAAACGAUUACCAGCCGGCAGAAUUGCAAAUUAUUCAACUAAUAUUAAUGUUAUGUAAAUGUUGUUUAGCUAACUUGAAUACGCACAAAAUUAUAAAAAACGCUGCAUAGAGGAAAAUUAAAUAGAUGCAAAAAGAUAA